rnacentral:rRNA from 1 species
GGUGAGUAACACGUAAGAACCUGCCUCUAGGACGGGGACAACAGUUGGAAACGACUGCUAAACCCGGAUGAGCCGAAAGGGAAAAGAUUUAUCGCCUAGAGAGGGGCUUGCGUCUGAUUAGCUAGUUGGUAAGGGAAAGGCUUACCAAGGCGACGAUCAGUAGCUGGUCUGAGAGGAUGAUCAGCCACACUGGGACUGAGACACGGCCCAGACUCCUACGGGAGGCAGCAGUGGGGAAUUUUCCGCAAUGGGCGAAAGCCUGACGGAGCAAGACCGCGUGGGGGAGGAAGGGUCUUGGAUUGUCAACCCCUUUUCUCAGGGAAGAACGCAAUGACGGUACCUGAGGAAAAAGCAUCGGCUAACUCCGUGCCAGCAGCCGCGGUAAUACGGGGGAUGCAAGCGUUAUCCGGAAUGAUUGGGCGUAAAGAGUCCGUAGGGAGCCAAUCAAGUCUGCUGUUAAAGAGCGAGGCCUAACCUCGUAAAGUCAGUGGAAACUGGAAGGCUAGAGUGUAGUAGGGGCAGAGGGAAUUCCUGGUGUAGCGGUGAAAUGCGUAGAGAUCAGGAAGAACACCGGUGGCGAAGGCGCUCUGCUGGGCUAUAACUGACACUGAGGGACGAAAGCUAGGGGAGCGAAUGGGAUUAGAUACCCCAGUAGUCCUAGCGGUAAACGAUGGA